rnacentral:rRNA from 1 species
UACGAAGGGGGCUAGCGUUGCUCGGAAUGACUGGGCGUAAAGGGCGCGUAGGCGGUUUGUACAGUCAGAUGUGAAAUUCCUGGGCUCAACCUGGGGGCUGCAUUUGAUACGUGCGGACUUGAGUGAGGAAGAGGGUCGUGGAAUUCCCAGUGUAGAGGUGAAAUUCGUAGAUAUUGGGAAGAACACCGGUGGCGAAGGCGGCGACCUGGUCCUUGACUGACGCUGAGGCGCGACAGCGUGGGGGAGCAAACAGG